rnacentral:rRNA from 1 species
GCGGCAACAGCUCAAAUUUGAAAUCUGGUCCCCCCGCGGGGCCCGAGUUGUAAUUUGAAGAGGAUGCUUCUGGCAAGGUGCCGUCCGAGUUCCCUGGAACGGGACGCCGCAGAGGGUGAGAGCCCCGUACGGUCGGACGCCGAGCCUCUGUGAAGCUCCUUCGACGAGUCGAGUAGUUUGGGAAUGCUGCUCAAAAUGGGAGGUAAACCCCUUCUAAAGCUAAAUACCGGCCAGAGACCGAUAGCGCACAAGUAGAGUGAUCGAAAGAUGAAAAGCACUUUGAAAAGAGAGUUAAAAAGCACGUGAAAUUGUUGAAAGGGAAGCGCUUGCUACCAGACUCGCGCCCGUCGGAUCAGCCGUCGCUCGUCGGCGGCGCACUCCGGCGGGCUCGGGCCAGCAUCAGUUCGCCUCGGGGGGAGAAAGGCGGCGGGAAUGUGGCUCUACGGAGUGUUAUAGCCCGCCGCGUAAUACCCCCGGGCGGACUGAGGACCGCGCGUAUGCAAGGAUGCUGGCGUAAUGGUCGUCAGCGACCCGUCUUGAAACACGGAC